rnacentral:lncRNA from 1 species
CACUUUUAGGAGUAACAUGAUGUGAUUUCAUUUGUUAAUGAAUCUCAUUCUUACUAAUACAUGGAGAGUGGAUUGGAGGCCAGAGUGGAAGUAGAGACCAGUUGAAAAGGUAUUGCAAUAAUAAAGAUUAGACAGGAUGACCAUUUGGAAUAAGGGGAAACAGAAGGAAGUAAAUUCAUUGAUUUGAUAUAUAUUAAGGGAGUGUAUGCUACAGUGUAAGGCCUAUAGGCAAACUGAAAAUGGGAAAAAUAGAAAGGGUGAAGGGAUUAUUGCCAAGAUUCACAGAAACUACUGGAUGAUUGAUGGUCCCAUUUUCUGAGAAGGAAAGAUAGGGCAGUGCAAAGUAUUGAGGAAGAAAAUUCAGAGUUCAGUUUUAGUUUCCAUGGGUCAUGUGAAGCUGGGAACAGGUUUAGAUGACUGGGACUGUAAACUAGUCUCUGUUGAAAUAUAUUCAUUCUGAAUAUAAAUAAUGGUUGGGAUUUAGUAUAUUUUGUGAGGUGGGAAGAGGGGAAAGUCUGCAAAACACGUAAAGUCUGGUAUUUAGGAAAGGAUAACAGGAGCAUGUAGUGCUAUGAAAACAGAGGAAUCAAGAGUUUUAGGAGGAAUAAACAACAUUUAUAAAUAAAUAGCAUAAAAGGGGGAGAUUAAAACUUAAAUCAUUUUGAUACUCUGAAUAUAACAAACACUAUGUAGUGCCCCCAGGUUUUAGCAGUAAGUAGAAUCAUAAUGAUUUUAACAAACACAACUUUAAUGAGGAGUUGGGGGUUAUCAUCAGAUUUUUAGUGAUUUUUUGAUCUUGAAGAAUAAUGUAAACAUAAAGAGAUUCAAAAAAUGCUAGUUCUCUUUGAUUUAUUUUUUCUUCUCCUAGGCAGUAAUAAUGUUUGGAGUUGGUCGGAGAAGACCCUUUCCCAUUCUCUUUUGCUCCAGACCUUCCCAAAACGCAACCACUCAAGUUUUACAGGGUAAUUUUGGAGAAUGUCCCAUGUAUCCAAGAAUGUGUUUUCUGCAGCUGCUGCAUAAAAUGUGUUGGUGCAAACAAAACAUGUCUGCGGUGGUCAACAGAAAGGCAAAUUAUUCCUGGAUGGAAUCGAUAAAAUUUGGAGGUAGAUAAAAAUGCAAUGCAGAUAUAAAAACUGAGUCCCUGCUGUAUUGGCGAGUUCUGUAGAAUUAAUGUUAACGUUAUAAAAUUAGUUCCAAAAUUUAAUAAAAGCCUGAACUUAUGAUGUUAAAGAUUAGUCACUGAUCAUACUGUUAAUAUUUUAACAAAAAAUUCUAAUAAUUGAAUAUUUCUCUUUUGUACCAAUAAGUAUGUAAUCUGUUGUCAUUGCCUAUUUGUGUUACUUUAGCCACAUAUUGUAAUUAAAUAUGCUAGAAAUAAUCUUCACCAUAAUAUUAAUACUAUUUCUCCUAAUCCUCAAUCCAAAUGACAACUUAAAACUUUCCCUUUAUUUCAAGUAAGAUCGUAAACAAAUUUCCAAAACUUCUAUUUACUUACCAGUAUCUCAGGAAGAGUCCCUUCAAGUCAAGUAGGAUGGUUUAUUGAACACAAAAUCUCUUUGAACAAAUGAAUCUUUAACUUGUAGUGAAAGUGAAACACACACAUACGUAUUUGGCAGCAAAUUGAUUCACAGUCAGAUGAGAUCAAUGAGGAUGCUUGACAAAUUAAAUUGGAUCAUCAAUUUGAGUCAUUGCAUGAUUUUUUUAACAGAUAGAUUUGCUCAGUUUAUGGCUUGUUGACCUGCAGAUAGUAUGCCAUGAGAGUCCAGUGAUAAAAAUGAUGGUUUGGGCAAUGAAGGCAUAUUUGAUGAAUGAGAAAAAAAGGGAAAAAUAAGUCUACCUAUGUACAAGAGGAAAAUAUACAGAAAUUAGAGGUGUAUAUUUAUGACUGCUCAGAUACUGGCUAUAAGUUGAGGCUUAAGCUGUUAUCUAAAAAGCCUUUUGAACUGAUACCUAACACAUUUUCCAUGACUGUUAGUUACCAUUAGAUCAGAGUGACAGAAAAUCUGUCUACUUGCCACUCUCUCCUUUCCAGAGAACUGAACUAGGAACUUUGCAUGCUUUGAUGAGUUACUUCACUUUCUUAUGUCUCUAUCAUGGAACUGUAAUUUGAGAUAUAUUUUCAGUUUUCAGGCCACUGUAUAAGUGUCAGAAACUGAGAGAAAGUUGAAAAUUUCCUACUCAUUUCCUCUAUCUUUGGAUGAAGAUAAAAAUAAUUUGUUUCACACUCCUUGAAGAUGCAUGUGAUAGUAUCUAACUAUGAUACAGAUGUGGGUCAAACAGGGAUACUUCCAUGCCCACCGGCUCUGGAAGUAAGUUUAGUCUUUACCCACUCUCUGACAGGAAAUCUGAAGGCAUAUUAAUUUGUAUUUAUUAUGUAUCUCUUGUAGCUUGACCUAUUCAGUUAUUUUUGCCACCUCAAGUGUUAGUGGACAUUUAAAAACACCUAAAAUCAUGGAUCUGAGACACAAAAAAAUAACAAAUGAGUUUUAUAAUCCUAAACCUUCUUUUCAUCCGGUUUUUCAGGUUUCACUGAUAAACUGUGUUUAUACAGCCCAUUAGGUUUGUCCCUGAGCACUUCAAAAAAGGUAUUAAAUUAGUAAAUACUGUUAUUUAGUAAUGUAGGCACUAUCAUUGUGGAUCAGAAAUUCAAGCUGUUAAAAUGUAAAAUAUCUGGAGUUUUUGUAUAAAUUGACCUGUGCAUUCCAGAUCUCCAUGCUCCAAAUCUUCAUACAGUUUAUGUAACUAAUCAAUAGGAUGACUUGGUUUUUUUUUAAUGACUCUUCAUGUACAAUUGUAGAUUUUUAAUUUCAAAAUUUUAUAAAUAUUUAACAUAUGUGAAGAAAGUCCCUUACACUAAACCACUGUGGUCUUGAUAUUUUAUAUUUUAAUAUCCUGAAGUGUUAUGACCAACAUAAUAGACAUAAAGUUAAUAAUUUAUUUUCGCAAUAUUCAUCGUGUUUUUAUUUACUCUAAUAUACUCAUGAAAAAAAUGGUAGGAAAAUGUAUCCCUUUCCUGUAGAUAUAUAAAGGAUAUAAUUUUACACAUAAGCACAAGAGACCAAAAUAAGGAUUCAAGUUCAAGAUUCUCUGAAUUCAUUACAUUGUUGAGGUAAACACGUUGAUGUAGCUCAUUAAAAAGAAAGAAGAGUGGAUCAUUAAAAUCCUUCCAAAAUUUACCCAUUUAUAGACAAAUCCAUCUGUACUGACAGUCAUUCAGCUACGUGUUUUUCCAUAAACAUGUGUAAAUGUAGCAAGAUUUAAAUUGUUUCUCUACAAUGAAAACACAAUUUGGUUCUAGUUUCCUGAUUGUAUAUUAUACUCUUUCUGAAAAUUUGUGUUUGAUCCUUUGGGUGGUAAUUGGCAUUCAUCUCUCAUAUGCUGUUUUAUCAUGUGCUUUUCUCCUUGUACAUUGAAUUUGGCUAUGAAAAUAUAAUAUUCUUAAAAUCAAAUAUGUAUACUUUGGGGAUGAUAAAUUUGAAGGCAUAUUAAUUUGUAUUUAAUAUGUAUCUCUUGUAGCUUGACCUAAUCAGUUAUUUUUGCCACCUCAAGAGUUAGCACAAGAUGCUUCCCAAAAUUUGACAAAAGUGAAGACAGUAUGGUUAUUACGGGUAUUUAAAGAAGAAUAUAAUGACAUAAAGGAGGUGCUCUCUAAAGCUCAAGAAAAGAAAUAAAAUGUGGGUAUUAUGAUUUGCCCAGAAGACUAUUUUCUCCUUGCCCAGGUGGCAAACCUCAGCAAUGUGAAUCCUCCAGAUUUUGCAAGUAGAUUAAGAUCAGUGAGUUGAAAAACAAAACAUAUAUAUAUGUGUGAGUGUGUGUGUGUGUGUGUGUGUGUGUGUAUAUAUCUGACUGCUUUGAAGACAGAAACCUAUAAAAUCCAAUAGUAAACUAUUGUAAAUAAAA